rnacentral:lncRNA from 1 species
GGCGUGGAAGUCAAAAGGGCAGGUGGUGCGGCUGAAGGCAGUAGGCUAGGGUUCUGUUUUCUGAUUUGUACUUUGGGCCAUUAGGGCUUAGUUUUAGUGGGUUUAGAUUUUGGGUCUAGGUUUGGGUUGAUUUAGUAAUUGGGCAGGGGUAUUUUAUUUUAUUUGUAAUUGGGUUAUUUGUUAAUGGGCCGGGCAAAAAUUGGGUCUCAC